GAUGAACGCUAGCGGCAGGCUUAACACAUGCAAGUCGAGGGGUAGAGGAAGCUUGCUUCCUUGAGACCGGCGCACGGGUGCGUAACGCGUAUACAAUCUACCUUUUACAGAGGGAUAGCCCCAGAGAAAUUUGGAUUAAUACCUCAUAGUAUUUUCGGAUCGCAUGAUUUGAUUAUUAAAGUUCCAACGGUAAAAGAUGAGUAUGCGUCCCAUUAGCUAGAUGGUAAGGUAACGGCUUACCAUGGCAAUGAUGGGUAGGGGUCCUGAGAGGGAGAUCCCCCACACUGGUACUGAGACACGGACCAGACUCCUACGGGAGGCAGCAGUGAGGAAUAUUGGACAAUGGGCGCAAGCCUGAUCCAGCCAUGCCGCGUGCAGGAUGACGGUCCUAUGGAUUGUAAACUGCUUUUAUACAGGAAGAAACACUCCGACGUGUCGGAGCUUGACGGUACUGUAAGAAUAAGGAUCGGCUAACUCCGUGCCAGCAGCCG
rnacentral:rRNA from 1 species